AGUGGAACUUAUUCUUCACUCGGAAUAUCUAAAGCAUCGGAUCCCAUCAGAACUUCGAAGUUAAGUGUGCUUGGGCGAGAGUAGUACUAGGAUGGGUGACCUCCUGGGAAGUCCUCGUGUUGCAACUC
rfam:Triticum aestivum genome assembly, contig: Triticum_aestivum_CS42_TGACv1_scaffold_195731_3AL